AGUGAACGCUGGCGGUAGGCCUAACACAUGCAAGUCGAACGGCAGCACAGUAAGAGCUUGCUCUUACGGGUGGCGAGUGGCGGACGGGUGAGGAAUACAUCGGAAUCUACUUUUUCGUGGGGGAUAACGUAGGGACACUUACGCUAAUACCGCAUACGACCUACGGGUUAAAGCAGGGGAUCUUCGGACCUUGCGCGAUUGAAUGAGCCGAUGUCGGAUUAGCUAGUUGGCGGGGUAAAGGCCCACCAAGGCGACGAUCCGUAGCUGGUCUGAGAGGAUGAUCAGCCACACUGGAACUGAGACACGGUCCAGACUCCUACGGGAGGCAGCAGUGGGGAAUCUUGGACAAUGGGCGCAAGCCUGAUCCAGCAAUGCCGCGUGGGUGAAGAAGGCCUUCGGGUUGUAAAGCCCUUUUGUUGGGAAAGAAAAGCAGCAGGUUAAUACCCCGAUGUUUUGACGGUACCCAAAGAAUAAGCACCGGCUAACUUCGUG
rnacentral:rRNA from 1 species